CACCUGUGACGUCAGUUUCAUACGGGACUGCCGCUUCGCCACAGAGUUUUUGGCGGGAAAAUUUGUAAUGUUAAUUGAGAAGACAAGACGGCGCCAAUUACUUCGUGUCAUGAAAGGGCAUUUUUGUUCACAAAUAUCCGCUUAUUUUACGUUAUAGCGACUUGUUAGAUUUGGAAACUAUAACUCAAUGGACGGGGAAAAAGGAUUGUGUAGUAAAGAGAAAAAUACGUGCAGUCAUUGACUUACUGUGAUGUUAAAUGUUUGUUGUGAAAUUAGACGGCCG